AGCAAGUAGCUCACAAGAAGGGUGGAAAGGAGGAACCCCAUCCACAAGAAGGGUCAAAAGGAGGAACCAGAAAACUACAGUCCUGUCAGUCUGACAUCAGUGCCAGAUACUCAAGGCUGCUCCUGACAUCUGCAGAAGUAUAACAGAUAUGCUACAGGAUUUAUAGACCUGAACAGUUCUGGAGUGCCUGUUGAAGAAAUACCCUCAGUGUCCCACAGAGAACAAGGACAGUGCUGUGCUGCUGGGUACAGUCAUGCUGGAUUCCAAGCAGGCUUGGGAUGUCUGUGUUCCAUUGAAUCCUCUCUGUGUUCCAGGCGAAGUGGAGGUGGCUGUAGCCUCACAAAAGUUUGCCAAGAGGAAGCUGGAAGGUUGUGGUAUCAUCAAAGAAGCAUGUGUUGGGAGAGGGAAGAGCUAAUCCUUAAAUAGUUGUGCCCUGCAUCUCAAAGUUGUGCCAUGGGAUGAUAGUGAUGGAAAUUUGGCAAACCCACUCUGCUGCUGUCAGAUGAGUGAAACAGCCACUUCACUCAAGACUGGAUGACAGAUCGAUGUAUAGAUCACUCUACAAGGUGGACACAUAAACUCCUUUUUCCACGUGUGAGAGAAGCAAAGUGCCCUGGGCUGGAAUCCAAACUGUCUCAUGGACUGAGUUGGGGAACGCUGCACAGAAAGAGAUUAAUGAACUCCUGCCCUUCUCCAUGUGCAUACAGCAGAGCUGCAGAUUUCAGGGGAUUACCCUCUGCUCACUUUGCAGUGAACUGAACUGGAAUCCCUACAGCUGUAAAAACCUUAUUCUUGUCUUGGGAAGAAAAAAA